GUCUAUGGCCAAACCACCCUGAACGCACCUGAUCUCAUCUGAUCUCAGAAGCUAAGCAGGGCUGGUCCUGGUUAGUACUUGGAUGGGAGACUGCCGAGGUUGAGGAGCCUGAUU
rnacentral:rRNA from 1 species